rnacentral:rRNA from 1 species
UACGGGGGGGGCAAGCGUUGUUCGGAAUUACUGGGCGUAAAGGGCUCGUAGGCGGCCAACUCAGUCGGACGUGAAAUCCCUCGGCUUAACCGGGGAAUGGCGUCCGAUACUGGAUGGCUUGAGUUUGGGAGAGGGAUGCGGAAUUCCAGGUGUAGCGGUGAAAUGCGUAGAUAUCUGGAGGAACACCGGUGGCGAAGGCGGCAUCCUGGACCAACACUGACGCUGAGGAGCGAAAGCCAGGGGAGCAAACGGGG